rnacentral:rRNA from 1 species
CAGUAGUCACGAGUUUGAUCCUGGCUCAGACAACGCUGGCGGCAUGCCUAACACAUGCAAGUCGAACGAGACCUUCGGGUCUAGUGGCGCACGGGUGCGUAACGCGUGGGAACCUGCCUUUAGGUUCGGAAUAACUCAGAGAAAUUUGAGCUAAUACCGGAUAAUGUCUUCGGACCAAAGAUUUAUCGCCUUUAGAUGGGCCCGCGUUGGAUUAGCUAGUUGGUGGGGUAAAGGCCUACCAAGGCGACGAUCCAUAGCUGGUCUGAGAGGAUGAUCAGCCACACUGGGACUGAGACACGGCCCAGACUCCUACGGGAGGCAGCAGUGGGGAAUAUUGGACAAUGGGCGAAAGCCUGAUCCAGCAAUGCCGCGUGAGUGAUGAAGGCCUUAGGGUUGUAAAGCUCUUUUACCCGAGAUGAUAAUGACAGUAUCGGGAGAAUAAGCUCCGGCUAACUCCGUG